rnacentral:rRNA from 1 species
AGCCUGAAGAAGUUCAUUUUAGGUAAAUUCUGCCCAGCGCAUAAUCUGUUAGCGGCCGCAGUACCUUGACUGUGCUAAGGUAGCAUAAUCAAUUGGCUUUUAAUUGAAGUCUGGAAUGAAAGGUUUAAUAAAGAAUUUUCUGUCUUCUUUAAAUUUUAUUGAAUUUAUUUAACAAGUGAAAAUACUUAAUCAAAGAAAAAAGACGAGAAGACCCUUAGAAUUUUAAAUAAAAAAUAAACUUUAUUUUAUUUUUUUGUUGGGGCGACAUUUAAACAUUUAAACUUUAACAAUUUACUAGACAUUAAGUUUUGUAAGGCAAAAUUACCUUAGGGAUAACAGCAUAAUGAUUUUCAUAGUUUGUGACCUCGAUGUUGGACUAGGAACUAGAAGACUAACCGUCAAAAUAGAUUGUUCUGUUCGAACAUUUAACUCCU